rnacentral:rRNA from 1 species
CUGCGAGGGAUCAUUA